CAGAGUGAGACCCUGUUUCUAAAAAAAAUGAAUAAAUAAAUAAAUUAAUUAUAAUUUUAAAAUAUGAACUAACAUUAUUUACAUAAUAAGAAUUCAUUUUAAAAUAAUGGCUUGGUUACUCUGGGCUCAUUGCUUAUAGGGUAGCCCUGCUCCACAAGGAGCAGUAAAAAUGUAUAAUAAUAAUAAUAAUAACAAUAACAAUAAUGGCUAUCACUAGAAUGUAAGCAACAAUAUAAACCCUACAAGGGUAGGUAUUUUUUCCAUUUUGUUCGCCGAUGGAUCCCAAUAACCUACAGCAGUGCUUGGCAUAUUGCAGGUUCUCAGUAAGUAUUUGUUGACUAAAGUAAUUACUGUUAGACACUAUCUAAGUGCCUUUCAAGGAUCGCUUUAAUUAAUUGUUACAACAUCGUGAGGUGAGUAAUAUUGCACCCAUUUUGCAGACUGAGGCAGAAAUAAACUAAGAAAUCCAGCCAAAGUCACAUACCUAGUAAAGGGAGACUGUGUCCAAGCAGCCUGGCCCUAGGGCCCAGGCUCUUGAUCACCAAGUCUAUUGCCUUCCCUAACAGCAGUAUCCUUAAUAGCAAUUAUAUUUCCUUAAUAGCAAUUAUAUUUCAUUGAACUGUUUUUGUUCUGUUUCUCAUACAAUAAUUUAUUGAUAUCUGUGUCUCCUACCAGACUAUGAUGUCCAUGAGGUCAGAGGAAAGGGAGAAUGUCUCACAUACAGAAAAUGCUUGAUCAACAUUGAUGGAAUCAUAAAUGGGCCUCAGCGGCACCUGUCCUGAGUCAGCAUCUCACAGAGGUUUUGCCAGCGCCAGCCACAUCUCCAGCAUGAAGGUGAUUGUCUGAGUGUGUCCAGUCCAGUUCCUGCCUUAAUAAAAAUCACUGCUGCAAGGGAGAGGGCUGCCAAGGCCCUGCCUCCCUCCAAUCCCAUCCUAGCCUGAGUCUUAACCAUUCUUCCAAUCCAGUUCCACUUUGGGCCAGUGCUUAACCCAGGGUAGCACUUUUGAGCCUCGCAACUCUUGGGAGUGAGUUUUCAUCCUAACGUUCUCAGAUGAGGAAAUUGGGCCUCAAAGAGUCCACACAGGUGAGGCACCGUGGCUCAUGCCUAUAAUCCUAACACUUUGGGAGGCCAAGGCAGGAGGAAUGCUUGAGCCCAGGAAUUCAAGACCAGCCUGGGCAACAUGGUGACACCCUGUCUCUAUAAAAAAAUACAACAAUUAGGCAAACGUGGUGGCAUGCACCUGUCAUCCCAGCUACCUGGGAGGCUGAGGUGGGAGGAUUGCUUGAGCCCAGGAGGCUGAGGCUGCAGUGAGCCAUGAUCCUGCCAGUACACUCCAGCCUGGGUGACAGAACAAGACCCUGUCUCAAAAACAAAACAAAACAAAAACAAAAACAAAGCAUCCACACAACUAGCAGGUGAAAAACUGGGGUUCAAACUCAGGCCUAUAACACUAAGGGCUGGGCCUGUCCCCACCAAAUCAGUCUUUCCUCAGACAGGCUGAGGUGUCCUCUAUAGACCAAAUAUCUGGAGGUCAGAACACUGAGACACUAGUUAUGUAAAGGCAGGGUGUGAGUUGGUGAGCUCAUCGAGAAAAUGCUUCCUGGGCUGGGUGCAGUGGCUCACACCUCUAAUCCCAGCACUUUGGGAGGCUGAGGUGGACAGAUCACCUCAAGUCAGGAGUUCAAGACCAGCCUGGCCAACAUGCUGAAACUCUGUCUCUACUAAAAAAUACAAAAAUUUGCCAAGCGCAGUGGCACAUGCCUGUAAUACUAGCUCCUCGGGAGGCUGAGGCAGGAGAACCGCUUGAACCCAGGAGGCAGAGGUUGCAGUGAGCCAAGAUUGCACCACUGAACUCUAGCCUGGGUGACAGAGUGAAACUCUGUCUCAAAAAAAAAAAAAAAGAAAAGAGAAAAAAGAAAGAGAAAGAAAGAGAGAGAGAAAGAGAAAGAAAGAAAAAGAAAGGAAGGAAGGAAGGAAAGAAGGAAGAAAGAAAGAAAGAAAGAAAGAAAGAAAGAAAGAAAGAAAGAAAGAAAGAAAGAAAGAAA